UUUCUGAAGCCAGCAGCAGUACACACAUCUUAAUAAGGAUUUAUAACACUUACGAACUGAUCUCAAUUCAAUUCUGUGCCAGCCUAAGACUGGAUUUCUAAUUAGAUACGACAAGGAUAAAAGAACCACAGAACUUAGUAAUUCAGGGCACAAACACUGGAGUCAGACAAACUUGGGUAAGAAUCCUGGCACUGCCUUUAUACUAACAUGUGACUUCGAUCAAGUUAUUCUAUCUUCUCUGGGCCUUUGUUUCCUUUUCUGUAAAAUGGGUAUAAUAAUAAUGGUAUCUAAGCCAUGGGUGGCGAUUUUGUUAGGAUUAAAGGAAACACCUCUGAAGCACUGGCAAUGCCUGGCACAUUGAAAUUAAUGAAUGACAAUUUUUAGUGAUGUUGUUCAUGUUCAAUUGUCACUAAGUUAUGUUCUUUCUACACCCAACUGCAAAUGACAAUCAAGGCUGUAAGCUAAGGAAAUCACAGAGCCUUUAUGGGCUUUAUACCCAGAGGUGAGGAUAGGUGAUUCUAAGGAGGAUCAGAACUCAUCAACAGAAACUCUUUCAAGCUUAGUUAUCAUCCAACAGGGAGUAGUGGCUUCGAAUGGUCCCUUCUGCUUAUGUAGUAGUAAAAGGAUUUUCGGUGAACCACAGUUGGCAUUUAUUCAGUAACUUUUACCAAAGAAGCUCAAAACCAGUCACCAAAAAAUAAACAGAAAAACCUGGAGACUCAGAACUAAGUAAUGCGGCCUGAUCGAUGGACAGCCAGAAAAGCAGGAAAGGCCAGACGUGGCUCUGAUCACGAUAUGGGACGUGAAUACGGUGGAAACGAGAGCCUUCUGAGACUUCUAAGAAGUGUUUUGUUCCUCUGGCUUCAGAGACAGACAGAUGACAGAUGACAGCACCGAGGAAAGAGAAGACGUGAGGCCCAGCGACUGUCAGAGGAAGCACAGAGGCCUCAGAGGGCUGUUUCAGCAAAGAGAGAGGUAAGGAUGGCAAAGACAGGUCUGCAGAUGGGGCUGACAAGCCCUUCUAGACAGGAAAUGACUCGGGAGCAGCGUCGGGCUGGCAUCUGGUAAGGUUCGUGCUGUUUCUACCAUGUGGUUUGUAAGAAGUUUAAUGCCAUCUGGCAACUCCCUCCCAGAAGCAUGAGUUAGUGCGGUUCUCAGCAGCCCUUUCGGCCACACAGGCUUUUUCACUAAAACAUAACGCACCCGACAGAUUGCGGAGUGGGCACGGAGUACCCCUACAGACUGCCGAAGCCUGGGGACGGGAACACACACCCUCAGGGGGCGCCGGUCCCGCCGGAAGCGCCCCUCCCCUGGAUCUCGGCUCCGCCCCGCGGCGCGCGAGCGUGUCGUCACUCGCAACCGGCCAAUCGGGGCGCGUGACAAAAAUAGCGCCAUAUAAAGGCGUGCGUGCCGGAGCCGGAGUCUCCGGGCCGCAAGCUGGGGCGGGGUUGCGCGCGCAGGUGAGCGGGGCGGGGCCGGCGCACACCUGCUUCCGCUGGACGUGUGCCGGAAAGGCAGUCGGCCGCUUCUCCGGAGGUCGCGGAACCUGCGGUCUGUGUAACCCCGACUCUGGGCUCUCGUUCAAUACAAGUCGUGGCUGCUCUCCUGACUGGUUUCCAAGUCGGAAAGAAGCGCCGACCGCAACUUGCGGCUUGCGUAAUCAAAGGGCAUGUUUAAAGAGCAGACCGCAACCGAGUUUCCAGGGGCGACUCCUGGGCCCACCCGAGAACACGUUAAUUUAGCCGGCACUGAGCCCUGCAAGAAGUCUUAGAUGAAGGGGCGCGGCUCUACCCUCUGGGAGCAGGCUCACAAUUGUGGGUGGGAGAUAGAGGGUCCACGCCCAGCCGAGGCCUAUGGUAGUAAGAUAGACGUCCUUCCCUGGAGGAAGAGGUCAGUGCAGGGUGGAAGGCAUUUCUCCAGGUCACCUUUCUAGGAGGAGGUGACUUUUGAGCUAUUAGGUGGAAACAAAAAGGCUUUGACGUCGUACACAUCAGGGUUCCAGCCUCUGCACGGGUCACACCCCCGCUCUGUGAACCCCGAACACAUCAGCAAAGCUCAGAGCGUUUCCAUCUUUAAGAUGCAGAUAGCAGUAGAUGCCCAGUAACAUUUUUGAGGAGCCCCUCCCUCCCCUGCCCGCCCCGGGUGAUCAUGUUAAUUUCUCCCUCAAUUUUACUCCCUCUCUUCUUUACUCAGUCUCUUCCUUUCAUUCCAUUUUCUUUCUUUUCUCCUUCAUUCCUUCAUUUUUCUUUUUUCUAAUUGAGGUAUAACCUACACAUAAUAACCUGCACAGAACUUAAGAGGACACGUAGGGGAACUUUUAUGUAUGUAUGUAUACACAAGAAAUCAGCUCCCAGAUCAAGAUGUAGGACGUUUCAGUCACCCCAGUUUCCACCUGCUCCUUCCCAGCCAAUGCUUAUCACCCCAAAGUUUUGGGCUAUUAUGAAGAAGCUGCUGUGAACAUUCUUACAGUCUUUUGGUGAAUAAAUGCCCUCGAUUUUAUUGGGUAUGUAGCAGCAGGAACUGAAUAUGCCAGGGAUGGAAUAGUGUGUUGACCUGUGUCUUUGGCACUUGCUUGUGGCCUUUCUUACUGGAUCGCCCCAUCGCAGCCUUGACUGUUCAGCUCAAUUCAUUACUUAUUUGACAUGAAACAUUGUCAGUGAGUCUGAUGGAAAAUUCCACUAAAGAAGGAAAAAACAUCUCUAAUAUGGAACAGCGAGCUAUUGAUUAAAGCUGCCAUGUGCCCUCAGAGCUCCUUUCUUCGGUAAUGCCUAAAACAGAUCAAGGUUAACAUGGGUGUUACCUCUUAACAGUCCAAAUGUCGGGCUGGCUUUAAGUACAGAAGUGAUGGACUAAUGUCCCAACUGCCUCACGUGGACCACACAGGUGACCCCGAGGACUGCGGGCUGGGACAAGGCAGUCACUCUCACCAAGAUGCCACCUGGGACUCUGACCUUGUGACUUGCGAUUGCAUUGGGCCCAGCUGCAUCAUCCGGGAUCCUCUCCCCAUCUCAAGAGCCUUACUUCAAUCACAUCUUUUUUCUGCGGAAGCUGACAUCUUUAUAGAUUUCAUCCUUGCCCAGACAUUAAUACAGAAGCUGGAACGAAACAAUUUCUACAGUCCAGACGCAAGAGCAAAGAAAAAAGAAUUUAGUACACACGAUUUCCUACGUGGAACACAUAUAAAAACAGUAUUUUCAAAACUAUGAAGCCUUCCUUGGAGUCCAAGCCUUUGGAGCUGACUGCACAGCAAUUCAUGAGGGGAAAAAAGGUUACCAGACUCUGUGUGGCUAACAGCAGUCUAGCUAGACCCCAAGGAGGCGGCAACGAAGCACAGGAAGAGCACUGGACCUGGGGUCAGAGUCCCAGGCCUAAUGGCUUCCCUGCCUGUCUGGGAGAAGAGUUGGUUUCAAAGAUAGAUUCCAAUUCCGAACAGACACGGGCACGGGAUUACUUGGAAGCAUUCAGAGGAAGCGGACAGUAGCAGAGUGACCUGACAACACCCCCACAAACCUCUUUCAACGGGG